rnacentral:rRNA from 1 species
AUGCUUAGGUACGACUUGGAAGAUCAUCUCACGGUCAUCUACACUGACGAGGAGGCAUACUGGCGCUUACGGGGUAUGCAGAAUUGGGUCCUCAAGGGGGACGCCAAUACUUCCUACUUCUAGGCUAUUGCUAACAGCCGUAGACACCGUAACUCCAUCCCCCUCCUGUGGGACAGAGCGGCCCUCCUGCAGAGACCGGAGGACAUCCGGGCCCGUGUAGACGGAUUUUACAAAGACCUAUUCUCUGCCCCCCGGGGAUGGCUUGCCCUGGCGCAAGACAUCUGGCCGGCCCACUGUUGCGUCUCGCCUGAGGAUAACGCGGCCCUCACGGCCCUGUUCAUCGAGACGGAAGUUUGGGUGGCUAUUAAGGGCAUGAACCCUUCCUCGGCUCCCGACCCGGAUGGCCUCCCAGUGAAAUUCUUCCAAACUUUCUGGGAGGUGACUAAACCUGUGAUGGCCCUAUUUUACGAGUUCUUUCUUGGGCCCAUUGACCUCGCACGGUUUAACUAUGGGGUAAUCACUCUCAUUCCCAAGGUGACUGGGGCCUCGGACAUCCGGCAAUUUCGCCCGAUUACGGUG